rnacentral:lncRNA from 13 species
GUGCUAACUGCUAGCCGUUAUCAUUAUAGUGAUGCUAACCCAACGGUGCUAGCUGUUGACAUUAGUGAUGCUAACCCAACGGCGCGAACAGCUAGCAGUUAACAUUACAUUGAUGCUAAGCCAACGGUGCUAGCCGUUAACAUUACAGUGACACAGAGCAGUGUGUAUGAGGUUAUACUGUUAUACUGCUCUCCAUGUACAUUGUCCUACAAGGACAUUUCAGAAAAAGUAGUAUCUACCGAUCUGGAGAAAGAGAUGUGCUCUUUGUAAAGCUGUGUCCCAAGUGUCCAGGUGAACUGAACCCAAAUUCACCGUCCUAUAGAACCAUUGAAAAUCCAAUGGUACAUGCAUUUACCUGAUAGAAUAUAUUUUAUUAGCAAAGAAAUGUUUUUAAUCUGCUCUUCAAGUUGUAUUGCUUGUUCUUGUUUCCACCCGUACUAUUCUGUGUGUAUUAGUUGUUUGUCCUUUUUAUGCUCCCACAUCUUUUAAUGUCAUUUUGUAUAAAUAUAUAUCCUUUUUUUUGCAUAGGAAAUGUUGUGGAAAUGAUGCAUCAUACUUGUAUCUGUUAUUGUUGUUCUUUUAAUAAAAAAAUGCAUAUCUCAAAUGAUUCUGUUGUAGCCUAUUAUCAUUUUAUUAGGAAUAAUUUUGCACGCCCAAUUUUUCAGUUUUUGAUUUGUUAAAAAAGUUUGAAUUAUCCAGUAAAUGUCGUUCCACUUCAUGAUUGUGUCCCACUUGUUGUUGAUUCUUCACAAAAAAAAUACAGUUUUAUAUAUUUAUGUUUGAAGCCUGNNNNNNNNNNGUUUUUGGUUGGUUGGUUAGCUGUAUUGAAGUAGGCUAGUCUAGCUUAGGGGUGUUUUUGGUUAGUUAGUUAGCUGUAUUGAAGUAGGCUAGUCUAGCUUAGGGGUGUUUUUGGUUAGUUAGUUAGCUGUAUAGUAGUAGGCUAGUCUAGCUGAGGGGUGUUUUUGGUUAGUUAGCUGUAUUGAAGUAGGCUAGUCUAGCUGAGGGGUGUUUUUGGUUAGUUAGCUGUAUUGAAGUAGGCUAGUCUAGCUGAGGGGUGUUUUUGCAUAUUUGUUUCUUUCCUUGGGUCCAGCUCAGCCCCUUUUCCUGCUCCCCCCAUUACCGUGUGUUU